AGAAUAUAAGAAACUGUCUCUUAAUUUUUAACUAAAAAAACUAAAAACCGACUUUUAAAUAUCUAAGAACCGGUUUUUAAUUUAUUUUAGUUAAAAAUUAAGAGACAGUUUUUUAUAUUCA
rnacentral:pre_miRNA from 1 species